rnacentral:lncRNA from 1 species
UACUAUACUUAACGCGAGUACAUUAUAAUUUUUUUAUUAAAUAACAACCUUCGUAAAACACCCCUGACACCCCUGCACGUCCUAAAAUACACCCCGUAUACGAAAACCAGUCCCGAAUACCUUUAGUUUUAUAAGAAUAAAAUAAAAACAAAAUUUAAUGGUCCGUCGCGGGACGCGAGAGAUACCCCGUGGGCCGUCGCGGGGCGCGGCAACUUGAUUACGAGGCAGCAACCUGAGCUGCCACGUGGCAGCCUCGUGUCGAACAUAUACCGGCGAAUCAGCAAGCCUACGCCCUACACCCCUAGCUCGCGGGCUGCGUAAGAGCAGCCCUUGGCUUACGCGGGGCGCGAGAGAUGGUCGAUCAGAUCCUAUAAAUUGGGAGCAUCAGCCUUCAGUCCAAUUCGCUCACAUCUUUCUCGAUCUCUCUCAAUUCUGAAUUAUACACGGGCAUUAUACCUCCUAAUUAGCGAAGCUCAGCCUCGUUAUUAUAGCCAGGAAGCCACAGGAAAUUACCUAAGAUAGCAAUUGAUUGAGUCUUGUAAUUCUUCAAUUACUACCGGUAUGUUGGGGGAACUAAGUGGAUCUGGCAGGUGUUUGCAUGUUUCAAGCUGCGUCAUGAAUAAAAGAUAUAAUCUAAGUCAUUAGGGUUUAGGAGAUGUAUCUUAAUCCUGGACGAGAUACAUGGUUCUAAACUCGGUUUUAUUUAAAGUCUUUUGUCGAGUCUUCGUGAACUCAUUUAAACAUGUUGCAUGGGUUGUAAUUUGAGUUUGGUGUCGAUGUCUCAG